UGGGGAAUUUUGGACAAUGGGGGCAACCCUGAUCCAGCAAUGCCGCGUGAGUGAAGAAGGCCUUCGGGUUGUAAAGCUCUUUUGUCAGGGAAGAAACACCGGCUCUAACACAGUCCGGGAAUGACGGUACCUGAAGAAUAAGCACCGGCUAACUACGUG
rnacentral:rRNA from 1 species